AAUAGAUCAAGUUUCUGAAGGAUGUUUCAGGACCUCUCUUCCUAGUCACAUUCAAUCUUUGGGUUCACUUUUGAAUAUCUUUCUGGUUGUGUGUAAGGCUGCGUAGCAAGUAGAACUCAGUCCCAUGUUGAGAGCACUACUUCAGCGUUGAUAAGUUCUAGAGAUAUCCCCUGUUCUUCUUCAGCGAGGGACUAACCCCGGAGUUGUCCAGGUUCUCGCUUCCUGUAUAGGGGUGUGAUCCUGGCACCACCCCUUACUUGCUUUCUACCCAAACAAGAAUCACUAACAGAGUUGACACCGAUGAAUGGAAUCCAUCCA